GACAGAGGGUGCAAACGUUGCUCGGAAUUACUGGGCGUAAAGCGCGUGUAGGCGGCCCUGCAAGUCGGAUGUGAAAUCCCACGGCUCAACCGUGGAAGUGCAUUCGAAACUGCAGGGCUAGAGUCCUGGAGAGGAAGGUGGAAUGCUUGGUGUAGAGGUGAAAUUCGUAGAUAUCAAGCGGAACACCGGUGGCGAAGGCGGCCUUCUGGACAGUGACUGACGCUGAGACGCGAAAGCGUGGGGAGCAAACAGG
rnacentral:rRNA from 1 species